UGCUGCACCCCCAGCACUGCUGCUCUCUGUGGUCCAUGCUGGCACCCACUCGAGCUUCACAAGGCUCUGACUGUGGCUGUCA
rnacentral:miRNA from 12 species